GAUGAACGCUGGCGGCGUGCCUAAUACAUGCAAGUCGAGCGAACAGACGAGGAGCUUGCUCCUCUGACGUUAGCGGCGGACGGGUGAGUAACACGUGGAUAACCUACCUAUAAGACGGGGAUAACUUCGGGAAACCGGAGCUAAUACCGGAUAAUAUAUUGAACCGCAUGGUUCAAUAGUGAAAUACGGUUUUGCUGUCACUUAUAGAUGGAUCCGCGCCGCAUUAGCUAGUUGGUAAGGUAACGGCUUACCAAGGCAACGAUGCGUAGCCGACCUGAGAGAGUGGUCGGCCACACGGGAAGGUGGACACGGUCCAUGCUCCUACGGGAGGCAGCAGUAGGGAAUGGUCCGCAAUGGGCGAAAGCCUGACGGAGUAGCGCCGCGUGAGUGAUGAAGGUCUUCGGAUCGUAAAACUCUGUUAUUAGGUAAGAACAAAUGUGUAAGUAACUAUGCACUUCUUGACGGUACCUAAUCAGAAAGCCACGGCUAACUACGUG
rnacentral:rRNA from 1 species